UGGGGUUAGACAGUUCUGGAAUGUGCGCAGAGGAGUGGAGUCACAUGGUGAUUAUGAGCCAUUCCUUACAUCCCUUUAAACUUUGGAGCCUAAGAAGUCAAUAGUUUGGUUAUACGUCUGAGUUUGGUUGUACGGAGUUUGGAAGACAAGAAGAGGUCUCCCUAUACAGUCCCCACUUUGAAAUUCCCGUUUGUAGUCUCCAGACCUCAAAAGUCAGUGGUCUCACAGAAGAGCCCAGGAGUCAUUGGUUUCCCGCUUUUGGCCCAAGCUCCCGGCGUAACGAAUGCUAACGCAGAACCCUCCGCCGACAGCCGCUGCGUCCCGUCCCCCGCUGGUCUAGUCGCCCGCCGCCAACCCCGGGGGCGGGCGCUGCGCCAGGGCUUCGGGACCCAGUGCCAGACCCAGAGCGCCGCCGGGCACCCGAGGGUGACAGCAGGAGAGAAGAGGUGAACACUGGAAAAACAUGACUGAUUCUGUGCAACUUGGAAAAGGAAAAGUCAUCAGCAAGUCCCAUCCUUACCACACACAAAUACAUUACAGAGAGGGCCAAGCUGGAGGUGGUGUUGUUGACAGAAACAUUGUAAGCAGAGAAGGUGAAUCAAUCCAUGGAGUAUCCCUAUCACACUGGAUGAAGCUCAGAAUUGGCCUAAAGAAAGUGGAAGUGAGAAACACACAGGCCGGUCAGAGGCACACAGCUGCCUUCUCUCCCAGCUGACUUUGGGCAACCACACAAGGCAAAGCCAGAGGAACCAAGAAAGGUCACGGUGCUUAACAAAUGGAGGAAGACUGCGUGUGUGCUCGUGUCCAGAGAAUGUCUGUGCAUCAUGAAUACCUCAACCCACGUGAUGGAAAGGACCAGGUCUUAUAUCUCAUUGGCCGCUCUACCAACUUUGUUCAGCAGGCAGGCCAGGAGUUUAAGGAGCCUGGGAUUCGGAGAGGUUAGGUAGUGUGCCCGUGAGCCCGCAGCGGGAGGUGGUGAAGCUGGACUUGGCAUCAAGACUCGCCGGGUUAUGAAAUUCUUCCAGAAUGGAUUUUUAUUGCUGUUGCAUGGAAUGAAGACGAGGACAAGCACUAAUGUACAGACCACAGAAAGCCAAAUGUGAGGCUAUCAGAGCCUCUGGGAUUAGAGCCACUAAAUUAAACAGGAUGCCCA
rnacentral:lncRNA from 12 species